rnacentral:rRNA from 1 species
AGCGAACGCUGGCGGCAGGCCUAACACAUGCAAGUCGAACGAAGCCUUCGGGCUUAGUGGCGGACGGGUGAGUAACACGUGGGAACGUACCUUUUUGUUCGGAAUAACGCAGAGAAAUUUGCGCUAAUACCGGAUGAGCCCUUCGGGGGAAAGAUUUAUCGCGGAAAGAUCGGCCCGCGUUGGAUUAGGUAGUGGGUGUGGUAAAGGCGCACCAAGCCCACGAUCCAUAGCCGGUCUGAGAGGAUUAUCAGCCACACUGGGACUGAGACAAGGCCGAAAGUCCUACGGGAGGCAGCAGUGGGGAAUUUUGCCCAAUGGGCGAAAGCCUGACGCAGCCAUGCCGCGUGAAUGAUGAAGGUCUUAGGAUUGUAAAAUUCUUUUACCAGGGAAGAUAAUGACGGUACCUGGAGAAAAAGCCCCGGCUAACUUCGUGCCAGCAGCCGCGGUAACAC